UGCAACCCGCGAUUCUUGGAAAGUAAGUUGAUCCCUACCCUAAAUGCCUCCCUUCUUGACCAUAUGAAGCUAAGCUUUCUCCCUUCAACCUCAUUUUUUUAAACGACAAAUAGUUAUAUAUUAUUCUAUGACGUCCUACUUAGUUGUUGUUAGCUUAAACCUCCGUGUCAGCGAUAGCCCCAACUUGUUCCCUUGAACCUCAUAACCGAAGAAAACGAGAGAGAAAGUGAUGGGUGUCGGCUAGGGUUUUCAGGAGGAAGAAGCAACCAUAGAGGUCGAUUCCAUCCACCCCCAAGGUAUGUUUGCGUCCCAUUAAAUUUCCAUUGCCACUGUGGAGGCCGGAGCAGCCUCCGACGACCCUUAAACCGCCGGAAAACCGGAUUUUCUGUUUAGGUUCGUUUUCAGUUGAGUUGAGCGGGUUCUUGGCCUUUAUAUCUCUUUCUAAAGAUGUGUUUUAGUCCCUUUAAUACCCGAGAUCAAGUGUGGACAGCUAGAACCAAGAAUAUAACCUCCAAACGCAUGAAAAUCUUCUCAUAAACACAUAUUGUGGGAUUUUGUUUAUUAUUAUUAUUUUUUUGUGUUGAACGAAUUUAGUUCUAUUCUCUUGGAUCUAUUAAUUUCUGAACUUAUUAAAGGUUGCUAGGACUAGUAUUUACCUUACUUAACUUUCUUUAGUCUUGUGUUGAUGUCUAGAAAACAACAUUUUUACUUCAAUUUGUCCUAAAAACCCACAAACAGAAGAGCUUUACUCCGUGAAUGAUUUUGGUCCAUGAAAUUUGAUUUUCAACUAAGUUUUACUGUUAAAACAUAGCCUAGAUCAUGUCUUCCAAGUUUGUCUCUGUUCAUUUUUCCUCUGUGAUUGCUCAUCCUUACAAGUUAGUUUUGCUUGUUUUUACAUAAUUUCAUUUACUAAUAACUCACAUCAUAGUCAGCUGUUUUUUCGUUAAUAGCUGAUUAAAUUUUGUUUAUUUUAGCUACUUUGGUUUAGUUUUACAUAUAAUUAGGAUAUUACACAGUCCAGCAUGUUCCUGCGUGAGGUCUAAUAAACAAAACAUUCGGAAAUUCUCCAAUCCCGUAAAAAUGCUCCUUAAUUCCUUUAUAUUUUCUAAUCGUUUUUUUUACGUUUGAUUCUUUCUGAGUAAUGCUAUCUGCUCCUUAAUGGUAACUCAAACACUGAUAAUGAACAAAAACUUCAAGAUCCAGUUGUAGUAAUUCUAAAUUUCGUGGUGAUGUUCCCAUUUUGCAAUAGUUAUAGUCCUUGAAAUCAAGAUUAGGAUUUUACUAGUGCAGCCUCUAGAUAGUCAAAUCAAUCAGUUAAUGCUCUGUUUAUAUGCAAAUAAGCGGGAUUUGGUUUAUGCUUCUAGGUAUAAAAUUGAUUUAGGUGUUUUUUUCAAAUCUUACACCCAAGACUUUUAUUUGUGCUGUUGUGCAUAUAGUUGUCUUACCUAAGAGGCUAAGACAAAGUGUAAUCAAUCUGCUUUGUGCAUAUAAUUACUUCCUCAUUUGUGUGCUUGGCUUGGUUACUUUGAUAGGUUAAUGGUUUACUCAAAUUGAAACCCUAAUUUUCUUCUCUGGCUUCAUUUUGUUGAAAUUUCUUGUUUGGCUUCACUUUGAUCAAAUUUAGAUUUAAGGUUUUUGUUUUGAGUUGUGGCAAGUUUAGGUCUCAAUUGCACUCCGUUCUCUCUAUUUUUCUUAUCGAUCGUGUAAGACACAUACAAUCACACACUAACAUGAAUCCGUUGGUACACUUUGCUAAAUUCCUAGUUUGGCUUUACGUUGCUGAAUUCCUUAUUCCUAUUAAUGAUUUUUGUUUUGAGUUAUGACUAGUUUGGGUCUCAAUUGCACUCUUUUUUUUUAAAAAAAAACAUGUAUCUUGCUUCAUCCACCGCCAAAAUUGUGAACUUGUUGAUACUCUUACCAAAGUGAUCGGGUGUUUAGUAUGACCUCGCAGUAUAUAUAUAUAUAUNNNNNNNNNNNNNNNNNNNNNNNNNNNNNNNNNNNNNNNNNNNNNNNNNNNNNNNNNNNNNNNNNNNNNNNNNNNNNNNNNNNNNNNNNNNNNNNNNNNNUAUAUAUAUAUAUAUAUAGCUGUUCCUCCUGUUAUAAUACUCUGAUAGCUUCAAAAAAAGUCGGUGGUUUAAAAUCCAAACUGGUAGCAACGCCAUAAGCAAACCCAAACUACACAAAAACCAGUAAGGAAAAGAUAAAUACAAAGAGGAAAAAGAUACCUUUGUGAAUCAUCCACUAUCAAAAUUGUGAACUUGUUCAUAUUCAAACUCAAAGCGAUGGGGUUUUUAAUGAUCUCAUAGUGGAGCUCUUUUGUUUUAUCUUUUCCAUUUCCGUGUUCCUCCUCCUGUUAGCAUACUCUGCUAGCUUCAAAAAAAUUGGUAGUUUAAAAUCCAAACUCUUAGCAAUGCCAUAAGCCAACCAUUUCGAUGAAAGCAAUUAGAUGACAAAAUGAUUGAUCUUGUAGUUGUUUCAAGCAUGGAAUUUAUUGUUGUUUUUUUGAGGAUUAUUUAACCGAAAUGUGAAUGGAUUUUACUUUUACAACUAUAAGGAUGCUUAUAUGGGUUAGUCAUAUGAAAACAAAGGUGUUUUAGGUUAAAUGAAUAUAUUGGUUUGAUAUUUUCUUCAUGGCUGUGUAAUGGUUAUUCUUUAUCAAUACUUAACUAUACCAAUGCUGGAUGAAGGAUCCAAAAACCUAUCACAUAAUUGCUAUUGCCAUGAGGAUGCCGUUGUAGAGAAUGUUAAUAAUUUGGAUUUUAUGUAGAGGAAUUGUGUACGAGAUCCUGACAUUAAGCACAAGUAAGGAAAGUGAGGAAAGCUUGUGGAACCAAUUUUCAUAACCGAGAACGUUUGGCUGAACGUAAUUCUUGGACAACAUGAUAAUAAAAGCCCGGGAUAAGGAGAAACGUGAAGUAUCAUCGCCUUCUUGGAUGAUGAAGAGAUUGUUCUCUCUGAAUAGAUGGAUCUUCAUCUUCUUCAUCAACCUAUGGUCAUAUAUAUUAGAUAUUUUUAAGUUUUGUAGGUCUUGACACUUGUAGUUUCAAUAAUUACCAUUAUGAGGCACUUAUAGAUGUCAAUAUCACUACCUUCCAUGAUGAUGAAGAAAUUGAAAUGGAGAAAGUUCGUAAACCAGAAUCGGAGAGUGCAAUUAAGCCAUCACAAACUUCUAUUAUCAUGUUGUCUAAGAAUCACACUACUUCAACAUGGUGCCGGUGAUGGUUGGUGGUGAAUUCGUGUUAAAUAUUGAGCUUGUUGGGACAGAAUCACACUUCUAAUAAUAGUCAUACCAAUUGUCUAAACCAAAACAUAAAACUUGGAGAUAUGAUGAUUCACAAAAUUGUCAAAAUCAAAACGUGUUAUCCAUGAUACCAUAUCCAUUAACUUGGUCAAAUCGAAGCAUGUAUAUGUUUUUACUUCUAGCAACUUAUAAUAACAGAUUUUUAGAUGGUACUCACCACAUAAUCAACUUAAGUUUGUUGACUUUGACCUGUAGCAUCGUACAUAUGAUGUUUGACAUUGCCCUGACGCCCACCUGAAGCCUUUGUUGCUUCAUGUUCUGACUAGUAGUAGUGGUCCGGUGUCCAGCUUCAAGUCAACAAUUAUGGUGAGUCCAAAGAACCUUAUACCUAGAACUCGAUCAUGUGUGCUUAACGUUUUGUUUAGUGCUUCUUGUGAAUGACUCUUAGUAUUUUCCACAUUGUCGGAUACUCCAAAUGAGAAACCUUCUUAAGCAUGUUAGAAGCAUCCACACACCAUCAUGUAGGUAUGAAUUUUUUUGUCUGAAACUUUAAAACAUUAAAAGAUGAUUGUAGUCCACAAUGAUGUCAUUCACAAGAAGUUCCCUAAUUAUCGAUCUCAGUUCCAAAUCAUAGGUUCUAUAUUGAAUGUGAUAUGCGGCCAUAGGCGUACACUUCGACCCAAACCAUAUUGUACUUUGAAUUAUUGAAAUUUUUAUUAGUGUAUUUAUACUUAUAAUCAAAUGGGACUAGAGAUUUACCUCAUCUUAUACCAGUAGUGUUCUUGAAUUGUCACACCCGAUCCUUAAAGCAAUGGCCUCAUUGUGCUUAAAGCUAUGGAUGUCCCAUAAUGUCAUUUAAGGGUGGGCUUGUAUUCAAUACGUUAAACGAUAAUGACAAGUACUUAACGGUUUGCAUAGGUAGUGAAAAAAUAUUGAUUCCAUAAAUAGUUCGUGUACAACUUGCCAUUGUCCUUUGAAGUUAUGGUCGACGUUGGAAUAUGUACACAUAUACUCGAGAAUAUUUCACUAUCGAAACUAAUCGUUAAGCAUAUGUAAUGAUUGCUUAAUGUACCGAAUGCAAACCCCUCCCCAAAUGAUAUUGAGGAGCUAAUUGUGUUGUUGAACGAAAAUUUGAGGCCAUCUUUGUAGAGCCCAUCAAGGGCUUAGGGCAUCAUAGAUUUAAGCACUACGAGUUCAUGGAUUUAAGGAUUAUGUCACAAUUCAAGGACAUUACUGAUAUAUGAUGGGGUAAAUCUCAAGCCCUAUAAAAGUCUAUAAACAUGAAAGUUAAAAACGGAUAAUACUUCCAUAAUUCUACAUACAAUGCGGCUCGGGCCGAAGAGGGCACAUACCACAUUCAACAUAGAACUGGAUGCAAGUCUUGUAGGAUUUUGGAAUGAGAUCGGUGAUUUGGGCACUUCUUGUGAAUGACAUUAUUGCCGACUACAAUUAUCUUUAAAAGCCGAAGAAAAAUAUUCAUACUUACCUAAUUGUGUGUGGACACUAUAAUAUGCUUACGAGGGUUUCCCACCGGGAGUGAUGUGCUUACCUAGUGUUGUGCUUACCCGACCGAGGUGGAUAACACCCGGAGUUACUUAUUGGAAGCAUUAAACAAGAAACUAAAAACAUAUAAUUGUUCUAGGUGUAAGGUCUAAUGGUGUCAUUUCAACUAUUGAAUUGAAGGCACAUACCUAAUCACUAGUCCUAGCAUGUUAGUAGUAGUAGGAUUCACAUGUUAGUAGUAGCAGGAUUUAGGUGGACGUCGGGGGAUUGCCAAAUUUGAUACACAUGAUGCCAUAGGUCAGGUCGACAACCUACACAUUGAUCAUGUUAUGAUCAUCCUCCAAAAAUCUAUGAUUGUAAGUUAUUAGAUAAUUAGAAGUAAAAAUAUGUGCAUUUUUUCGAUUUGACCAAGAUAAUGUCUUUUAUGAUACAAUACUAAAGAUACAUCCAGUAUGGAUUUUGUACCAACUUUUAUGUAUAAGUGUUUUGGUUUUGACAAUUGUUAUGAAUCGCCAUGUCUCCAUAUUACAUGUUUUGGUUUCGACAAUUAAUAUGCCCAUAUGACUAGAAGUAUUUUCUAAUUUGUUUACAAGUCGACAAAAUAACAAUGGAAGUCAUUUAUAUUUACAACAUACUAUUGGUUAGUUACUUAAUAAAGACACAUAACAUUUUUUUGAAUAAAAUUUUGUUUAUUUUAGCAACGUUUACACAAAUGUUCUUGCAUGAAGUACAAUAGACAAAACAUGGGAAAUUCUCUAAUCCUGUAAAAAUUCUCCUUAAUUCCGUUAUAAUUUCUAAUCAUGUUUUUAAAUUUGAUUGCUAUUGAAUAAUGGUAUCUCCUCCUUAAUGGUAACUCAAACAUUGGUAUUGAACAAACAUCAAUAUCCAAUUUUAAAUUUCCUGGUGAUGUUACGUAAAACUUGCUGACCAGUUGAAGCCAGAUCUUAAGACAUCAGGUUCUUGUGAGUACUUAUAGGAGUUAUAAUCCUUAAAAACAAAAUUAGGAUUUUGUUAGUGUAACCUCGAGAUAGUAAAUGAAUUAAUUAAUGCCCUAUUUAUUUACAAAUAAGUUGGAAUUGUGAUAGUGUCAUUUUAUUUACUUAUUUUUAUAGUUUAUUUUAGCAUAUUUCAUUCAUAAUUUAAUUAAUCUUCAUGUAUUUUUUUAUUUUAUGACUAUUUCGGGUACUUUCGUUUCAUGAGCAUAAUUACAGAUUUUAAGGAGACUAGCAGAGUGGGAUUUUGGGAGGCAAAUGGACUAGGAGGACAAUGAAGAAUCAUGGACUAGAAGACUUGUGGAG
rnacentral:lncRNA from 1 species